GGGGAUAUAUGAGAGGAGGUUGUGGUCGAAUUUGGGAUCAAUUGGAGGAUGUUUGGCACAUGAAAUGACGGGUUAAAGGGGUGGUAGGGGCUUAAAUUAAGGUUUAGGACUAAACCGCGAGAACCAAGGACCUAUUUGUAAUUAUUGUGAAAAGUGGAAGGGCUCAUCUGUGAGAAUUCUUGGAGAAAGGUGGAAGGGCCGGAUUGUAAAUAAAGGAAAGUAGAGGGACGGAUCGAAAUUGAAGGAGUUUCUUCUUCUUCUUCCUUUGGCCGGUUACACGAAGUGGAGGGGAUGGCCGGCGGUGGCCGGCUGGCCGGCCAGGCCUUGCCGGCGGUGGGCCCCGACGGUGGGGAAGGGCAGGGGGAGGUAUGUAGGCCCCAUUUUGCCACUCACCUUGGAGAUUUGGAGUAGGGAGGGAGGGGCGGCCGAUGAGGGAGUUGGGGGUGGCGGUGCACGGGCGGCGGCACUACUGGCGGCGACGGUUGGUGAGGCGGCGACUUGGUACAGGGAGGUGGUGGCGGGGUGGUCGGGCCUUGGCCCUCUUUUUAUAGGCGGCGGGAGGAGCGGCGUGCGGCCGGGUGAUGAUGGCGGCCGGAACUUUGGCCGAUGGCGUGCCGGAGUGGAGGAGCUCGUGGAAGGCGUGGGGCUCGGUCGACAAGGGGCACAGGUAUCGGUGUUUUAGAACGACAACCCGCCUAGGGGUUACCCUAGGUGGUCUUUUGUGCGGUAAGGGUUGUCGAGAAUCAAGGAAUCAAUGGUGACGCAAGGAACACGAUUUAGACAGGUUCGGGCCGCUAGAUCGCGUAAUACCCUACGUCAUGUGUGUUGGUUUGUAUUGGUGUCGAGAGAGAUAGAUCGAUGUCUUUGAGGGGGGUCCCUGCCCGGCCUUAUAUACGCGGGAGGGCAGGGUUACAAGUCUGAGUCCUAGUCGGGUACUAUUACAGAGUUCUACUCGGUAUUGGCCCGAGUAGUUUUCCAUAAACAUACAAGACUAGUCCGAGAAGGAUACGCCCAUCCUUAUUCUGACCUUGUCCGAGUACGUCCCUUGGUGGGCCGUCCAAGGCCUACUCGUGGACCUGGGGUGUAUGCCCGACAAGCUCCCGAGUACUUUAUAGUCGUGCGCCACAGUCUUGGGCAUUGCAGGUGCCAUCCGAGUAGCUUGGUCGUAGAGGUUGCAGUUUGAAGUGCUUGUGUACUGUCGCGUGGCUGGAAGGUACUCUUUUUGCUUUCUUCGAGUUGUCUCCGUUCCCGAGUAAUUUUAUAUGAUAGUGCAAUGUCAAUCGUACUCCAUAUGGAGUAGCCCCCGAGCCUUAGGUUGAGUCGAAGAGCCAGGCUUAGGGUCAAACCAGCUUUUGUCCAUUUUACCCUUGGAGAUCUUGAAAAGAAAAAACUGACCAACGGGUACGGUACCCGCAACCCCCGAGCACUUAGGCAAUUUCUGUCGUUGAAGUGGUCAGCAGUCCGUUGAAUAGAGUAGCCGUUAGGUGUAUAAGGUGAUUGAUACGCGAUUAAUCUGUCCGUUGCGCAACUGAGCGUGGAAACCGGAGCCGGCGGAGAUAAAACUGGAACGCCCCCUUUCGGUUGCUGUUACGCCGUACGGUAAUCAGAUCCCUUUUUCUUUCUCCUCUGCGCCUCCACUCUGCAUUUUGCCGUCGUGAGAGCCGCCGCCACCGCCACUGCCGCCUGAGAAAGAUUCGAGUGUCGAGCCGCUUCUACCUUGAGGUUUAGUCCGUCGAAUGCGCACCAAGAAGAUGGGAUAGAAACCCGAGAAGAUCCAGGGCAAGGCUUCGGCGACGGGCAAGAUCAAAUCCAAGAAGGGGAAGGAGCUGGUGCUGCCGGCGCCGAAGGUGGGGCUAAUGGGAUAAAUUGCACCUCCGCCGCCUGGGGCAACCUGGCAACACUCGGUGAUGAAGGAGGAAGCUAUCCAGGCGCUAGUUGAUGCGAAGCUCCUUCAGCCGAAGGAGAUUCUUGAGUGGCGCCCUGCGUUUCCCAAUGCGUGGCAGUUUGAGGAACGUCCUGCCGAGACGGUGAUGCUUGCACACUUUGUGGAAAGGGGAUUGGCGGUGCCCACCUCCGACUUCUUCAGAGGUAUUCUUGAGUACUAUAAACUCUAGCUCGUCCACUUGAAUCCCAAUGGUGUACUGCACAUGUCUAUUUUCGUACACCUGUGCGAAGUUUACCUCGGAGUACCUCCAAGUCUCGAGUUAUUUAGAAAGCUGUUCCGUUGUAAGCCUCAGCCGAGUGCUCAGCGGACAGAAGUCAUUGGAGGCACCGGGUUCCAGCUUAGGAACUCGGGCGCGUAUAUUGAGUAUAAUCUGACCGACUCCCAUGGGGAGUGGAAGAAAAGGUGGUUCUACAUCGGGAACCAUGAACCCCACUUGCCUGUGGUGACUGGUCACGCGCCUAAGCAUGCGGAGAGCUGGGUGAGCGAGCCCGAGGACACCUCUGAGCUCGAUCACCUGAUGCAGCAGAUCACUGAGUUGAAGGCACUCGGUUUGACUAGGAUCAACGUGGCGGCCAGCUUCCUGAAGAGAAGGGUCCAGCCGCUCUAACAACGUGCUCACUCAGGAGGUGAGUACGUAGGUCUGAAGGAUCGAUCGCGUAUGUCUGAUGAGGACAUAUCCGAUGAUGACGUAGAGGCGCUGCUGGCUAAGUUUUUUAGGAACUAUCAGGGAGUACCAGUAAUCCCUGCAGCCCUUCGUCAGUAUGAUGCCUGGUACGAGCCAGAAGUGGUAAGUGUUUGCUCCUGACUUGUUCUUCUUUGACUUUUAAUUCUUGUUGCUGAUACCGAUUUGUUGUUUGAAGUCUCGAGUUCUUGCCGGCUACUUGGCGCAGUUAGAAGAAGAGUCGGAGGCUGUCGUCGAGGAGUCGGAGGACGAGCCUUCUCCUCCUGUUAAAAGAUGCAUAGUUGUCCGCAAGAUGUCUGCGGCUAAGUCUGCUUCAACCCCUGAGAAGUCUCGGGGUACCAAGGUAUGUAGUCGGUAACUUGUUUGUUACUGGUGGAUUUGAACUUGUUAUUGAUGUGGAGAAUCUUGUCUUGGUUCGUGAAGGCUGUGAAUACGACGCUUGGUGAAGAUGAGGCUGUUUUUGAGGAAAUGGCCGUGACCGAUCCAGAAGUCGGUGAUGUGGUUGUUGACAUGGCGCCGGAGAGGGUACCAUCCACAGAAACUGGGGUAGCCCCCGAGUUAACCGCGUCAACUCCAUCGGACAUCAUGUCGCCUAUUGCUGACCAGGCGGUUUUGGGGCUGCCUGCUGGAGCAGCGGGUACAGUGAAGGAGGUGUCGUUAGUACUCGCUACUGGUUCUUUGCUGUCCAAUGUGAUCGCCAGUGGUAAGCGUUGUCCCCUCUGGUUGUAUUCGUUCGAGUAGUAUUGUACUCUUAACUUCGGUGUUGUAGGCCUUGGCGAGAAGACAGCACCGGUCGAUAUUCCCACGACGCCUAGUACUCGGCCGCCUGCCACCGAGAAGAAGCGUGUGCGACUUCCGCCACAUUCAACCCGGUGAGCUUCCUUGUCUUUUGAAUGACGUUGAAUUGUCUUGAAAUCAUGUAGUGACGCUUUUUGGGUGCAGAGAUGCAGAGGAGACUAUCCCUGUAGAGACACGGAUAGUGCCGGAUCCCGCAACUACAACAUCUGUUCCUUUGGAGGACUUGACUGUUGACGAGGUACCCGAAGUUGACGCUGGCCGUCUUGGAGCUACUAUGUCGAUGCUUCAAGACAUGAUUCGCUUGGUGGAGGUUCCUGCCGCUGCAUCGGGCUCAAGAGGUGCUGCUUUAUCGUCAUCUACUGGUGGAUCGCUGGCCGUAGUAGAUGUUAGAGAAGCCAAACAAACGACUGCUCCAGGUAAGUGCCUGUAGUCUGUUUAUUGUAGUCGUAGUCGGUAGCUGACACGAUGAAUGUUGUAGGUGCUACUCUGGGUACGAAUCCUCAUCUUGUGGAGAGUACUCAAAGGGCAGUACUUAGCCUGCCUUCUGAUUUGGAGUUCCAGAGAGCCAUCGAUGUUUUCCGUAGCUUCCAGGUAGAUUUCCUUGUUGAUUUUGUUGUAUGACCCGAGUAGUCGUGAGGCUUGAAACUUAUCACACCAUACUUGGAUGCUUUCAGGAAAGAAGCCAUCAGCUGGAGCAGGAAUGUGCCCGACUGACAGAAGCUCUUCGGGUUCAUGAAGUCGGGGCGAAGUCCUUUGCCGUGGAACGCGCGGAUCACGUGGUUCUGCAAGAAAAACUGGAGAGCCGCUACAAGUCCUUGAACAAGAAGUAUCAAGGUAAGUAUUUCGACUACUCUGGGUGUAUCCAAUUGUGGUUGGCUGUGGCCUGAGUUCUUUGCUUUGUAGAGCUCAAGAAGCAGGAGGCGGCUGCAAGGAGCCAAGUCAUCGAUUGGAGAAACGCUCAUGACCGAGUGGCAGAUGAAGCCGAACAUCUUCAGGCCGCGCUUACAGAAGCACAGGCUGCUUGCGAGCAUCAGCGGGACCGAAAGAUGCAGAAUGGCAUGAUGCUUGCCAUGGCUAUGGUGGCAUGUAGAGAUCAUGCCCAGACCUUGGGAAGACUUCGGGGCGAACUCCGAGAGCUGUCUGGAGCGGCCGAAGUCUUGGUGAAUGCCAUAGCCCCCGUGGAGGAAGGCGCAGGACCGCAAUCGCUAGUAGAGCGACUAAGAGCUGCCCUGAGUAAAGUAGCAGGACUUUGCAAGACUGUUUGCAAACAGGUUCUUGCAGUUGUGAAGUCCUACUAGCUGAGGGCAGACUUGGCGGCAGCUGGAGAUGGCGUAGCUCGCAACUGCACAGAGAAAGCAUAUGCGCAGUACCUCGAGGAAGCGGAUCCUAUUGCGGCCAAGAUGUCGGAGUUUGUCUCCCUAGAAGAGCUUUGAGCUUUUGUGUGUACUCUUGUUCUUGUACCAAAUACGUUGAUACUUUUGAAUAUCAAGCCUUUGGAUUUUGAAGUUCAUUGUCUUGCGAAGAGUAGUUUUACUCCACUUUGUCCAAUCCAGAGUACUGGAGUUGGCUGGGCCCGACCCUCUAGGGAGGAGAGUCGUCCCGCCUGACCUUGAGUCUUGGGGUCGGCUAAGCCUGACCCCUUCGAUGGUGAAAACUCCGCCUCGCCCGACCCUGGGUCCUGGGUCGGAGUAGUCGAAGCCCCCGAGAUGUAGGCCAUGCUUGGCUUGUACUAGUCCCGAGAGUCGAGUAGUCGUAAUGCUGUUUGAGUACUCAUCUUUUGAGGGACACAGGUGUACUGUACUCUUUUGUCCGUUGUGGCAUGAGUGCAGUCACAUGGGCAGAGUCAGGAUUCGUCAGACUCAUUGAUCACGGGUGCAUAGUAACUCUUGAGCAGGUGGUAGUUGGGGCUUUCGGCUAUAAAUAGGGCCAUCUGGUGGGCGAACCAACUCAAGUUCCUGAGUAGCGAUGGAUUGCCUUCGGUUGCUUCUGUUUGAGUGUAGAGAGCCAUCAAAGAGUGCACCGGUGCUAGAAGAUUCCUCGUAGAUUGAGGCCACCUUCCCUUCACAGACUCCUGCGCUCGUAGGGAUAGCCGCGAUGCUAGAAGAAUCCUCGUACGAGGUUUCAUCGCACGCCUCAUCUUGCAGCUCGUGAUCCAGUGGGGUACGCGUUGGAGCUCGCGAGUGAUGGGUGAUGAGUGCCGCGGUCUUUAUCCUGCUCUGAAAGGGGUGGAGGUGCGGUCGUAGAGUAGAUGGGCUCCGCAAGGCUAGCAAAAGAGCAGCCUUGGUUCCCUCUAGGCGCGUCGUGCCGGUUUCGUCGUUGCCGCUGUCAAGGCAGUGGCGAUGCUGGAGUUCCUGGCAUUGCCUUGGGUAGGGUACCUCGGCAUGGCUGCGUUUUGCGCAGCUUCCUUGCGUGUGGGCCCUUCCUCUUGUGGUCGGCAGACCUGAGUGGCCUUGUGAUAUAGUAAAAGCCUGAGGCUUAAAUGCAGCCCGCCAGUAGGCAGUUGCUUGUAGGCUUCGUGAAUUCCAAGUACUUGUACUCGUAUGUAACUUGAUGUACUCUUCUUUCAGUAAAGAUUGAUACGAAGAUUUUUGUACCGGGGCAAUGAUCCUUGUGCUAGAAAACUCAUGAAGCUGAGAUAUCUUAAAGUCAGUAGUCGGCCAGUUGGCCCGAGUAGCUGCCUUGAAGCGAUUACUCGGGUGCUGCUAUGGGUAGUAGCGACAGAGAUGUUCGAUAUUCCAAGAAUUUGGCACUUGUUCUCCUGAGAGCUCUUGGAGUCUGUAAGAUCCGGGUCCUAUAACCUUUGAUAUAAUGUAAGGACCUUCCCACGGUGAAUUGAGUUUAUGCAAUCCUGACGUGUCUUGGAUACGCUUAAGGACCAUAUCGCCCGAGUUGAAGGAUCUUUCCUUGACGUUGCGGUUGUGAUAACGUCUUAAACCGGCAAGGUAUCUGGCAGAUUGCACUAGUGCUACGCAUCUUGUUUCUUCUAAGCUGUCUAUGUCUGUUCGUCGUGUUUCUUUCGCAAGUUCUUCGUCGUAUUGUUCAACGGAUGGUGAUUGCCACAUGAUGUCGGCGGGUAGUAUGGCUUCCGAGCCAUAUACCAGAAAAUAGGGUGAUAGUCCCGUAGUCUUGCAUGGCUGGGUACGUAGGCCCCACAAGGCAUUGGGUAACUCUUUGAGCCAUCUGCCACCUUUGGUGUUGCCGACGUCAUGUAGUCAUUUUUUCAGAGCGUCGAGUAUCAUGCCAUUGGCACGCUCGACUUGUCCGUUGGCUCGUGGGUGAGCAACCGAGACGUAGCGGACGUCGAUGCCACUGUUCUCGCAAUAUUCCCAAAAGUCGUGAUUAUUGAAGUUUGACCCGAGGUCUGUGAUGAUCCUAUUGGGAAAACCGUAGCGGUGUACGAUUUCAUCCAAGAAGUCGAGGACUCGGUCUGCCUUGGGGCAAGUGACCGGUUUGACUUCGAUCCAUUUGGUGAAUUUGUCGAUUGCCACGAGUACCCUGUUGAAUCCUCCUAGCGCAGUUGGUAACGGACCUAUCAUGUCGAGCCCCCAGCAGACAAAUGGCCAUGUUGGAGGUAUUGUGACUAGCUUGUAGGCCGGCACAUGUUGCUAUUUUGUGAAGAAUUGACAACCUUUGCAUUUCUGAACUAGUUGUUUGGCGUCGGCCAAAGCCAUUGGCCAGUAGAAGCCCGCUCUGAAAGCCUUGCCAACUAGUGUCCUUGAAGAUGCGUGGUUGCCGCAGAUUCCUCUGUGAAUCUCUUCUAGGAUUUCUUGGCCAUCUUCUCUGGUGACGCACUUCAUGAGUACUCCAGAUGAUGCACCUUUCCUGUAGAGCUUGUCUAUGACUAGAACGUAAUUCUUUACUCGUCGGGAGAUUUGCUCAGCUUUAUUCUUGUCGGAUUGUAGCUGGUAAUCUUUGAUGUAGUCGAUGAAGGGUGUCCUCCAGUCGACUUCUAUCAUCAUGAUUUCUCGGGAGACGUCAGCAGUCGGGACUAUUGGUGGUGUGACUUGUUCAGGUAUGGACGGCUUGCGUAGUUCGUGUACGAAAAUUCCUACUGGAACUUCUGCACGAGUUGAGCCCAUUUUGGAUAAGACGUCGGCGGUAAUGUUGUUGUCGCGGACGAUGUGAUGAAACUCCAAGCCUGAGAACUUGUUUUCGAUUUUACGGACUUCUUUGCAAUAAGCAUCCAUGUUGUCCUUGUUUCGGUCUCACUCAUCAUUGACCUGGUUUAUGACGACUAGGGAGUCGCCGUACACCAGUAGUCGUUUGAUGCCGAGGGAGAUUGCGAGGCGAAGGCCGUGUAGCAGUGCUUCGUACUCGGCUUCGUUAUUAGAUGCUUCCCAGAAUAUCUGCAGCACGUACUUGAGCUGAUCUCCUUUGGGGGAGAUGAGUAAGACACCUGCGCCGGUCCCCUCGAGUUUGAGGGAUCCGUCGAAGUACAUUACCCAAUGUUCUGGUCAUUCGACUGGAGUUGGAACCUGAUUUUCAGUCCACUCAGCUAUAAAGUCGACCAAAGCCUGAGACUUGAUGGCUGUCCUUGGCUUGAAGUUCAAAGUGAGAGCUCCGAGUUCGACUGCCCACUUAGAGAUUCGACCCGUGGCAUCUCUGUUAUGGAGAAUUUUGUCGAGCGGGAAAUCGAAGAUGACUGUGAUGUUGUGCUCUUGGAAGUAAUGCCGCAGCUUCCGGGAAGUGAGCAGAAUAGCGUAUAAGAGUUUUUGUAUCGGUGGAUACCGAGUUUUGGAGUCCGAGAGUACUUCACUGAUGAAGUAGACAGGUCGUUGGACCUUGUAAGCGUGGCCCGGUUCAGACCAUUCGACUACUAUUACCGUGCUGACGACAUGAGUAGUAGCGGAGAUGUAUAGGACCAAGUCUUCGUUCAACGAGGGAGCGAUGAGUACAGGAGGCUUUGACAGAAAGUCUUUGAGUUGUGUUAAUGCCUUAUCUGCCUCUUCCGUCCAUUUGAACUUGUCCUGGCGUUUGAGAAGCUUGAAGAAGGGUAGUCCCCAUUCUCCAAGUCUCGAGAUGAACCGGUUGAGAGCGGCCAUGCAGCCUGUGAGUUUCUGCACAUCCUUAAUGCUGGCUGGUGCCUGCAUAUUUGUGAGGGCAGAUAUUUUCUCCGGGUUGGCCUCAAUGCCGCGAUGGCUAAUGAUGAACCCGAGUAAUUUGCCGGAAGGUACUCCAAAGACGCACUUAGUAGGAUUGAGUUUCCAUCGAAAAGCGCGAAGACUGGAGAAAGUUUCUUCCAAAUCCGCAAUGAGUUCCUCCUGGUUUCUUGUUUUGACGACGACGUCGUCGACAUAAGCUUCGACAUUACGAUGAAGUUGCUUUUCGAAGCACAUCUGUAUAGCCCUUUGAUAAGUUGCUCCUGCAUUUUUUAGUCCGAAGGACAUUGUUUUGUAGUAGAAAGCUCCAAAGGGCGUGAUGAAUGCUAUUUUGGCUUGAUCUUCUUCUUUGAGGCUUAUCUGGUGAUAGCCAGAGUAGCAGUCGAGAAAACAUAGCAAAGCGCACCCGGUGGUGGAGUCAACCACUUGAUCGAUCCUGGGUAGCCCAAAAGGAUCUUUCGGGCAGUGUUUGUCAAGGUCGGUGUAGUCGACACACAUUCUCCAUUCGUUGUUUUUCUUACGAACAAGCACAGAAUUGGCGAGCCAGUAAGGAUGAAAGACUUCUUUGAUGAAUCCUGCCGCGAGUAGCUUGGCUAGCUCUUUUUUGAUUGCUUCUCGUCUGUCCUGAGCGAACCGGCGUAAUCGUUGCCGUUUUGGAGUAACUUGGGGAUCGACGUUGAGAGAAUGCUCGAUCAGUUCCUUGGGCACACCUGUCAUGUCAGCCGGCUUCCAAGCGAAGAUAUCAUGGUUAGCCCGAAGGAAACUGACGAGCGCGAAUUCCUAUUUAGGAUCUAGCCCCGUUCCGAUCAGGGCUGUCUUAGAAGGAUCACCGAUCUGGAGGUCGACUGAUUUGAAGUCUUGCUCAGUGGCAGGUUUCACCUUUGUGGAGCCCGACUUGUUUUUCGGGAUCUCUAGUUCAGUGGGAUGGAGUUUCUUUGAAGCUAUGAAGACUUGCUGCAUGGGACUAGGAGAUUGAGUAGUCGCAGCAAUUUCCACGGCUUCGGUGUCACACUCGUAGGAUCUCCGGAGAUCUCCUCGUAGCGUGAGCUCCCCUUUGGGGCCUGGCAUUUUGAGUACCAGGUAGACAUAAUGUGGUAUGGCCAUAAACUUGGCGAGUGCUGGCCGUCCGAGUAUGGCAUGAUAAGAUAUCUCGAAGUCGGCGACCUCGAAUCUGAUGUACUCGGUGUGGUAAUGUUCCUUAGUUCCGAUGGUGACUGGAAGGACAACUUGUCCCAGUGGUAUAGCCGCGUUUCCGGGCACAAUGCCGUAGAAAGGCGAAUCCGUUGGGGUAAGCAUUUCAGUGAUGUCGAGGCACAUUUUCCUUAAUGUCUUGGCGAAGAUAACGUUGAGGCCGCUUCCGCCAUCGAUGAGUACUUUGGUUAACUUUGAACCUGCCACAACUGGAUCCAGGACUAGUGGGAAACGGCCUGGUUCUAAAAAUUUUAUCCAUUGAUCUUUUCUGCUGAAAGAAAUUGGAACUUCCGACCAUUUUAAUGGUGUGGGGCCUGUCGGCUCGAUGGCCAUGAUCUCCCUGAGUACGAGUUUGUUAGCUUGCUUGGAUGCGGUGCCUGGAAUGCCGCCGAAAAUGACGUUGAUGGUUUUUGAAACUGUUUGGAAAUCGCCGUCCUCAUUUUCGUCGUUGCGGGCCUUAUUUUUACCCUUCUCCCUGUUUUUGGUGUACUCUUCAGGAGUUGGUGGUGCGGGUAAGUCUUGCAUGACUCGGCGCAUGCUAUAACAGUCUAUUGCGGAAUGCUUGCUAGUCGGAUGCCAUGGGCACUGCUUUUUGAGUAGCUCUGUGAAGGUUGGCCUUUCGUCGUUUCUGCGGUGUCCCUUUUUUCCGGAGCUGGUCAUGGCGGCAACGGUGUUGUCGGGCUUUCUUUUGCGAUUGUGAUUACCCGGAUAGGAUUUUCGAGCAUCGUUAUGCCGAGUUCUAUCUGUUUCAUUGUUGUGGUUGUUGUCGCGUCCGCGGUUACGGUGGGAACCGAACCGUUCUCGCUCUUUGUCCUCUUCAUCAGCCCACUGUUGCACCAUGACUUUGAGUUCUUUGACAUCAGCUGGUCGUCGGCGACCGAAGUCUUGGUAUGUUCGUCGAUCAUAGAGUCCAUUUUGGAAGCACUCAAUGACGUCUGCUUCGGAGAUGUCCACUAUGGUAGCCUUCUUUUCGAAGAACCAUCGCAGAUAGUCACGUAAGGUAUCGCCCUCUUUCUGCUUAAUUUGUCUUAAGUUGAUUUUGUUGCCUGGUCUAGCCAUCGAGCCUGCGAAGUUGUUGGUGAAGGCCUUUGUCAAGUCUGCCCAAGAAUCAAUGGACUUGGGUUUGAGUGACUCAAGCCAGGUCAGUGGCGCGGGCUCCAUGCAUAUGGGGAAAUGAAUGAUUUUGGUGUCGUUAUUGCCCCCGGCUGCUUGGACGGCUAGCGAGUAACAGCGUAGCCAUUGAACUGGGUCUUGCUUGCCGUCGUAUUUGGUAAUUCCAGUUGGCUUGAACUUUUCGGGUAAUUUUAUUUUCAUUACCCGGUUUGUGAAAGCAGGAAAAUGGUUGUAGCUGUCGACUUCUCGUUCGCGCCGACUGUUGAGAAUUUCUCGCAAAUCGCUGAAGUUGGACAUCUCGCGAAUCUUCCGAGUGGGGCGGAUACUUUUAACCGAGUUGGUGCAGCUGACCUCACCAACGUCUUUCUGUCGAGUAGGAGCUUUGUGCUUGCUUGGACCUUGGCUAUGUUGCCGGGGUUGGUUGAUUGCAUCGUCAUUUUGUGGAGCGGCAUUUUUAUCUGCAGCUCCCUUGCUACCUUCUUGAUGAGAUGUGAUACGAGGAACGGACGGGAUUGGUGAUUCUUUGUCGAGUAGCUUGUAAGCUUGCUCCACGAGUUGUGCAAUUAGUCCAUUGCCGCGCUGCACGAGUUGAGCUGUGGCUACGUUAUCCUUAUCCCGAGGCAUCAAUGUCAUCAAAAGGUUGAUUGAAGCGAUAGCCGCGAGUGGAGUAUUGUGCUCCUGAGCCUAGACUGCAUUGAAAGCCCUUUCAAGAUUUGUAAUAGGAAUAUUUGUAGCCAUCGACUGUCGUCGCUCAGCUCAAGUGGCAUUGCGCGCCCUUCGUUGGUUGCGCUGCUCGGAAGUUUCACCGUGCGGGGCGUCAGCAGUAGACUCAUCUUCGGAAAUGUUGUCGAUUUGUGCUAAUCGUCUGGGGGUUCUGUUCUGGCUAGUACCCGGGUUGUUAUUCUGAGUAAUAACAAGUAUCUCCCUAUCCGGGUAGUAGCUUCCGGAGCUUGAUGUUGCAAUCUCUGUGUAACUUUAUUCGCGGUUGGAAGUAAGUGGAACGCCUUCUUGAUAUGGUAGGUUGUCUAUAUGGGCGACAAGGCGGGAGUCGUAGUCGCGAUCGAGAAGAAAGGGUCGCAAUCCCGGCUAGUGGACGAAUCUGCCUUGAGAUGUCGAAGUUAUUACCAACCCUUGGGCUGGACCAGAUAACGGUAUCACUGGUGAGUAGGAUGAGUCGGAGUCAACAUCUUCGUCAUGCCUGAGUUCGACUCGUGUUUGGGCAAGAAAACCUUGGUGAACUUUGGUUGCGUUGCGGAGUCUGUACGGGAACCGCGUUGAAGUCGAAACCGAUUUGGAUGCUGACCGGGGCCGUCGAAUCCGAAGCGAGUCCGGCCCUGAGUCCUGGGGUCGGCUGAGCCCAACCCUUUGGAGGAGUAGCUCCACCUCGCCCGACCCCGAGUGAAGCUCCACCUCGCCCGACCCUGAGUCCUGGGGUCGGGAGCGCCCGACCCCUGAGCGGAAGGUUGGAGUAGUCUGAGGCGAAGUCGAAUCCGAUGCGUAGUCGAACUCAAACUUGUUGACUUCGAAAUCUUGAUUUUUUCUGGCCAAAUCUUCUGGUUUCUUUUCCUGAAUGUUGAUGAUCUGGCAUCGGAACGAUCCCGAGCUUUCAGCGACACAAAGCCAGGAUCCAAAAACGAAGGUGGCGCCGGCUUCGACGAAGAAGACGGGCCUGAUGAUGAUCUUUGCCAUUGAGUUCGUGCUGAGAAACUCGACGAGCUCCCCUACCUGGCGCGCCAGCUGUCGGUGUUUUAGACCGGCAACCCGCCUAGGGGGUACCCUAGGUGGUCUUUUGUGCGGUAAGGGUCGUCGAGAAUCAAGGAAUCAUGGGUGACGCAAGGAACAUGAUUUAGACAGGUUCGGGCCACUAGAUCGCGUAAUACCCUAGGUCCUGUGUGUUGGUUUGUAUUGAUGUUGAGAGAGAUAGAUCGAUGUCUUUGAGGGGGUCCCUGCCCGGCCUUAUAUACGCGGGAGGGCAGGGUUACAAGUCUGAGUCCUAGUCGGGUACUAUUAUAGAGUUCUACUCGGUAUUGGCCCAAGUAGUUUUCCAUAAAUAUACAAGACUAGUCCGAGAAGGAUACGCCCAUCCUUGUUCUGACCUUGUCCGAGUACAUCCCUUGGUGGGGCGUCCAAGGCCUACUCGUGGACCUGGGGUGUAUGCCCGAUAACAGGGAGUCCACCGAGGUGAUGGCCGGCAUGACGUGCGGUGGGACGGCGGUGACCGACAGACGGCGA
rnacentral:lncRNA from 1 species